UUAUCUCUGUAGAGUCUGCAUAUCAAUAAGCGGAGGAAAAGAAACUAACAAGGAUUCCCUUAGUAACGGCGAGUGAAGCGGGAAGAGCUCAAAUUUGAAAUCUUCAAGGUUCUACCUUGACGAAUUGUAGUUUAUAGAAGUGUUUUCUGUUAGUGGAGUGGCAAAAGUUCUUUGGAAUAGGACAUCAUAGAGGGUGAGAAUCCCGUAUUUGGUCAUUCCUCCUAGCGUUGUGAUACACUUUCAACGAGUCGGAUUGUUUGGGAAUGCAGUCCAAAAUGGGUGGUAAAUUUCAUCUAAAGCUAAAUAUUGGCGAGAGACCGAUAGCGAACAAGUACCGUGAGGGAAAGAUGAAAAGAACUUUGAAAAGAGAGUUAAACAGUACGUGAAAUUGUCAAAAGGGAAGCGUUUGACACCAGUGUUGUUUUUCCGAAAAUCAAUUACGAAUGUUUUAUUUUUGAGGAGUUAUGACUUCAUCGGCUUGCUCCUUUCUUUAUGAAACUUUCUUAAUGCACUUUUCGGUUAACAAGUCAACAUCAAUUUCUUUUGUUGUAAAAGGGUAUGAGGAAGGUGGCUUUCUUUUCGGAGAAAGUGUUUAUAGCCCUUGUGCCUCUGCAAUCGGAGAGAUUGAGGUCUGCAGCGUAGAUCCUUCGGGGUUAGAUACGUUUGUGCUAAGUUAUAGCUUUUCAUAGACAACUUGUUGACUAUGUUUAGUCUUGUCGGCUUACUCGCUUGACGCUAUUUUACCUACGCUUAGGAUGUUGACUGAUAUGUAGUCGUA
rnacentral:rRNA from 1 species